rnacentral:misc_RNA from 1 species
GAUGAAGAACGUAGCGAAAUGCGAUAAGUAAUGUGAAUUGCAGAAUUCAGUGAAUCAUCGAGUCUUUGAACGCACAUUGCGCCCCCUGGUAUUCCGGGGGGCAUGCCUGUCCGAGUGUCAUUGCCGCCCUCAAGCACGGCUUGUGUGUUGGGCCCCCGCCCCCCGGCUUCGGGGGGCGGGCCCGAAAGGCAGCGGCGGCACCGCGUCCGGUCCUCGAGCGUAUGGGGCUUCGUCACCCGCUCUGUAGGCCCGGCCGGCGCCCGCCGGCGACCCCAAUCAAUCUUUCCAGGUUGACCUCGGAUCAGGUAGGGAUACCCGCUGAACUUAAGCAUAUCAAUAAGCGGAGA